UUCCCUUGGUCAGGUUCCUCUCAGAGUCCCAUCCAACCUGGUCUUGAACCCUUCCAGAGCUGAGGCCUCAUCACCAUAUGAAUAAAGAAUUUCUUCCUUACUUCUCAUCCUUUAGUUUUAAACCUUUUCCCCUGGUCCUGUCACCAUCUGCACAUGUAAAAGGUCCCUCUCCCUCUUUCAUUGUGAGCUGCUCCUAGUACAGGCAGGCUGCCAUAAGGUGUCCUUGGAGCCUCCUUUUGUCCACGCUGACCAUCCCCAGCUCUCUCAGCCUGUCUUCAGAGGGGAGGGCUCCAGCCUCUGAUCCUCCCUGUCGCCUCCUCCAGGCUCGCUGCAACAGGGAAGGGACAGCAGAUGCUCAGGAGAGCAGAUGCAGAGGAAGAGCUACACCCAGGGAACCACUUGAAUCAAACCAUCUUUUAUUAGCCAUGAACAAAUCACAUGGCUGCUAAGAAGCCUUUAUUAGCACUACUUUCAAUUUUGCCACCAAAAAUAUCUGUGCUUAGAGCUGCUGAACAUGUCCCAGUUUGUGAGACUGGGCUGUAGCAGUCCUGAUGAAUUUUGGCUGUGCUGCUCUCCAGGGACAGACAGACAGACAGGCUGUAGCCCCAGCCACCAAGCUGCUGUCCUGUUUGUGCUCUCUCUGUGCUCAGGAAUCAGCAUCCCAUGGGAACAGGACAUGCAGGAGCUGUGAACAGUUUACUUUAUUAAGUAAAUUUACUUAAUAAAAGAAGUUAAUUGAA